AUAAUUACUUGGCGUAGAGGUCAACCGUGAUCAAUAUUUAGGCGGUCCUUCCAGGGUGGGCCCGGUUAUUGCACAUCGAUUGGGUUGACUCCUGCGAGUAUCCCUAAUGUAGAUACCUAGGACGCAUAAUUUUUGGUAGCUGGGACUGCGUUUGCGCCGUCACUU